rnacentral:lncRNA from 1 species
UUCUUUCUUGCUUCUUUCUCUCUCUAAAAAUCUCCUUUAUUUUCUCUUUUUAAAUUAGGUAAAUCAAAAAAGGAAAGUGGUGAGGAAAAAAUAAAGAAGGGAGGAGUUUAUAAAGGGGCAAAAAUGGUCAGUGAGAUAGAGUGAGAGAGUGUGUUUGGGGGCCCAUGAAUCAAAAUCAACAUGGCCAAGCAUGGCCUUGGCCGAGGGGACAAGCAGUCAUCCCGUCGGCUGUUAACGCGCAACAGUGUUGUAUGCAUGCACAGGCAGCCAUGCCCUGCACUAGGCGUGCGUAGGCUACCUACCUCGCAUAGGCACAACUAUGCUACACUCAGAU